UAAUGUACACAGGGGCGCUGUGAAACUGUUCCGGAGAGGUUUACCGCGGGAACAGGAUCUGCGGGACAGUUUCAAAACGGCUGAGAUGUAUGUGUUUUCAUACAGACCCUUUUAACUUGAUCCGGGUAAUGCCGGCGUAAGGAAAGGAGAAUUUCAUAAU
rnacentral:ncRNA from 2 species